rnacentral:lncRNA from 1 species
UUUACUAAUGUGACAAAUUUUGAUUGGUGUUAUUUUUUUGUUGAUCUGUCAUACGUACUGAUUUGGUUAUAUAUUAUUUGUGUCCACAUAAUUUAAAAUGAUUAAAACUUAUAAUUUGUAUUUUUAUUAUGGAAAAUCAUAAAAAAUGAUAAUAAAGUUCUUAGUUAUGAUAUAAAUACUGUUAUAUUAAUUUAAACUUUAUUUUUGUUAUAAAAUCACUGAGUGCCAAUCUUGAUUUGAUAUUUUAC